rnacentral:lncRNA from 1 species
ACUCUUCCACAGAGCUACAUUUUAUCAGCUACUGCCUCCUGGUAUUUCCUUCCUCUGCCUGUUCCACUUCAACAAGCACCUCGAGGCUGCAGAAUUUCUUUCUGGGCUCUACAUCAUUUACAAAAGAGGCUUAUUACUCUCUGCAUCUAGUGUGUUUGGCCCAGUGCCAGAGAGAUCUGCCAAGCCUUCCUUCUCUUCCUCCUCUUCCCCAGCCCAGCCUCUUCCUGGAGUUCCUUCCUGGGACCUGCAGUGCCAAGUGCUGGGGGAGAUGAGGGAGUGAGUGGCCUUUCAAGCCCCUCAGGCCUCCAAGGCAGAAGGUGAAGGUUACUUGCGGGGAUUAGCUGAAAACAGAGGAGCCUGAUUUGGGACAAUGCAUUAAUUCCCUGAAGAGAGUUUAUCACAGGAGCUACCUCCAAAAAGUCCCACCUGCAUAGGGAUCUGCAGCUAGCCCUGAGAGGAAAACAUAUCCCAGCAGCCAUGCGAACUGAAAGAGUCUUUCCUUAAAAGGGAAGUGACUCUUGGCUCAAAACCUUAGGGCUCCCUUUAUGGGUCCCCUCACAUUUCUUCCUAGUGUGGAAUACCCAGCCACACAAGGUGAACGAAGGGUUAUCAUUCAGAACAGACACUAUUGUUUCACUUGCCACAGCACCUCAUUUAUUUAAAAAUAAUGAUCUAAAUACAAAGAGUAGCCAUCCUCUUGAAAACCAGACACACAUCCAUAAUGACCAGCGGGUGCACAGGCCUGGGCUUGAAGGAAGGAAAUCAUCAGAAACAACAGGAUAAUGCUCCUCCCUCAGGGCAUGGGUAGUGGUGAGCAUUUUCAAGGUUUGAUCUCAGUUACUCCCUUACUUGAAGAAGGCUUCGAUGAUUCCUCAUGGAGAAAUCCCAGAUACUUCUGCACAUGAUUCAGAGGUCCCUUACAACUGGCUUCAGCCUGCCUUCCAAGCCCUGUCUCUCGCCUCUCCCUUCCUUCACACUGUGCUUCAGCGAGAUGCUGUGUUUUUUGCAAAUGGACGGUUUGGGCAACUCUUUGUGGAGCAAGUCUAUCGGUGCCAUUUUCCCAACAACAUGGAUUCACUUCAUGUCUCUGAGUCACAUUUUGGCUGGAGUGUGGUGGCGUGAUCUUGGUUCACUGCAACCU